rnacentral:rRNA from 1 species
GACGAACGCUGGCGGCGUGCUUAACACAUGCAAGUCGAACGGAAAGGCCUCUUUCGGGGGGUACUCGAGUGGCGAACGGGUGAGUAACACGUGAGUAACCUGCCCUUGACUUUGGGAUAACUUCAGGAAACUGGGGCUAAUACCGGAUAGGAGCUCCUGCUGCAUGGUGGGGGUUGGAAAGUUUCGGCGGUUGGGGAUGGACUCGCGGCUUAUCAGCUUGUUGGUGGGGUAGUGGCUUACCAAGGCUUUGACGGGUAGCCGGCCUGAGAGGGUGACCGGCCACAUUGGGACUGAGAUACGGCCCAGACUCCGACGGGAGGCAGCAGUGGGGAAUAUUGAACAAUGGGUGGAAGCCUGAUGCAGCAACGCCGUGUGCGGGAUGACGGCCUUCGGGUUGUAAACCGCUUUCGCUCAUGACGAAGCUUUGUGUGACGGUAGUGGGUAAAGAAGCACCGGCUAACUACGUG